CUCUCCAAUGAUGCACAUUUGGUGUCAGAAAAAAUGACACAAAAAAAGCUUAUGUUCCUGGGUUGGGACGAAACAGAAUGACUAUCUCCAGUUAGAGCACCCGAUGCAUCCUACUUCCACUAAAGCAAAAUGUUUCAUCCAUUCCAACAGGGCAACACAACAAGCAGGGAACAGCAUGUAUAAGAGAACAAAGCAGAAAAGCAAGAGGCUGGAGUGCACAGAUAGUAGCAAACAAGCAAACAAACAGACAAAAGGAAAACACAGUCACAAACCCCAGAAAAUGAUAAGGCUGUCUAGUUAACCCCUUUCUAUUGACCUACAGAUUUCUUGAGACAGACAGAUGUGAGACCACCUUCGUCACUAACAUGCUGCUAAUGGAACGGACAUUAAAAUGACCUUCAAGUGACAACUCGCCACCGGAUAACUGUGACAAAUGCAGCCAGAUAGUCAUCUCUACCUUGUCUGCAGACACGAGAUGACAUUCCAUAAUACACUUGUGUCAAAAGAAGGAAAAUGCUGGAUGGUCUUUUUAAUGGGUUUGUCUGUAGCAAAGAGACCCACCGGGGAUCUAAUUUACAGAAGGAGCACUUGACAGAAUGAGCUUAUGAGAGAGCUGUGCGUGCGUGUGCAUGUGUGCCUACUGCAUGGGAAGGCUGCCUCAGGAAAGUGCAUCCAAUUCUGCUUUUACAGGAAAGGUCACCAUAUUCUUGUAAGAUUAUAGCAACUUCCCUUAAAAUUUAUCAUCUUGAACAUUACAACACGAGAAACGACCAGCAGAAGGAGAUUUGAGGAGGAUGGCAGCUGUGUGAGGGAAUGACACAUUUUGGAGAGUGGGGCAAACAUCAGAGUAUUUGAACACAGGCAACUUAUCACAGUGCAGAAGUCUACAUGAGACUUGCUCAGGAUGUCACCGCAGGACCGAAGGGCACAAGAAGAACAGCAAUCAGCUGAAGUGACAGGAAUGACCAAGAUGGAAGAACACAACUCAUUUCAGAUACAGAAAUGUUUAAUGGCGUUAAAGUGCUACUUUAAUGGGGACCAUAUGCUAACAUUUAAACACAAUUCCACUGCACUGCUAAAUAUGGUUGUCUUUAUUUUUUUACUUUAUUUUACCUCUUUUUACCCAACCCUAUCUAAAACAAUAAAAUAAAAUCUAAAGGACUGAAAUUAACAACCCAUUCAAAUCAGCAAUAAGUUAUGAAUUUUAUAAAGCAUUUUUUUCCUCUUUUUUUUUCUUAGUAUGAGGGGUAAUUAAAUUACUUAAGGAUAUACAAAGUAUCAAACAAUGCCAUAGGUGAAGACUCUAUUAUGGUUUUUAAAACUUGGAAAACAAAAUAAUCCUGGCCAUUAAAAUGACAAAAAUAAAAAAGCAAAGCCCUCAAAGUGCAGGUUAGAAUGCUUGUCUUGGAGAAAAUUAGAAAACAUUCGCUAUAACAGCUCUUAACAGCACCUGCACAGAUAAGAUGGCAAGGCCCUUGGGAACAGGACGUGCAGUCAAAACGUUACAUUAACAUGAGAGACGUGCUGAGCUUAACUAGGUUAACUACUGGACUGGAACUUCAAAAGUCAGCAAAGGGAAUG